rnacentral:lncRNA from 1 species
GCCUAUCAGAGACCCAAAAUUACUAAACCAAAGAAGCUUUUGCGGUGGUUCCCAUUGGUCAAUGCAGUAACAUUGUCUAGAAAGAAACUUCUACUUCCUAUGCCUCCGGUGAAGAACCUUAGAAAAUCUUUUGUCCUUAACAAUGAACUGCAUAGAACAUUGUAUGGUUUUAUUGUUUUUGCAGUUUCAUGGGACAAUGUUAGAGGUAUAAACUACUUCAAUGAGCUUCAGGUACCAAGCCCCUUCCAAAUGCUUCGUCUGUUUUCUGUCUUGUAGUUGAGACGUGUUUAAUGAUUUACAUCUCACCUGCAGACAGAUACCUCUGUCGCCAUAGAGGCUAAAUAUAUGCAACGAUGGGAAUUUGAUUCCAUAUCUCAAGCUGCAGCAAGCAUGUCUACUUGGUUCUUGGGUUCACCCACCGAUGGGAAACUGUUGAAAAAGUAUUUGGAGUCAGUUACAGGUAGCUGUUAGUGUUUCUGAUUAAAUUUGACCUAGCUUAUAUUAGGAAUGGAAGUAUGUUCAUUUUUUUCAUGUGCGGAGGCUUGGAACAGUGCACUAAUUGGCAUCAACUUUUAGCUAUGUGUAGAGCUUUGUUUGGUACUAUUCUUAGAAUGCUUAGAGUCUAGUGUUUUCCUGGCCUUUGUGUUUCAGGCUACGGUGAGCUCUAGUGCGCUCCAACAAAUUCUUUUCAUUUGAGUCUUAUAGAAUAUAUAUGUAUUAUAUAGGCUGCAAAUGUUCAUUUACUAAUGUGCCGGCUAUUAUUCUGUUUUUUUUUUUUACUGCACAUUACAGUUUGGUUUAAUCUUUUUAUAUGAUCUAAGCAUGACUUUGGCUGUAACUAUUGAGUAGCAGAUGGCUUGCUUUGCUUGAGGUAGCACCUGCAACGGCCUAGAAAGUGUCCACUUAACCAUUUAAUUUUCAAUUCCACUUUUCAGGAGAAAUUUUUUACGAUGCAUUAGAUGAUUUCCACGAUGUUGAAGACAGUUACCUCAAUAGCAUUCCCAUUAUGGAGGACGAAAUUAUCUCUUACAAAAACUUGUACAUGAAUAAUGACUUUCUGGAGUGCGCUGAUGAUGAACUAAACCUACAUUCUACCACUGCAAAAGACAGCACGAAUACACUACAGACACCUCCUCCGACUGGUCCUAACAAGAGAAGAAAAGUAACAAAAUUUAUUGUCUCACAGAAUGAAGAUGAUACCUAUCUGGACGAGAGGAAAAACCGAGUUAUUGAUUUGGCUAGUGUCCCAGAGAAUCAUAAUAUUAAUUGUCAAGAUGUAGUUGAGGCCACACAAUACAAAGAUGUUUUAAUUUUGUUUAGGUUCAAUGAUCGGGACCUUCCAUUCAAGUUAAGGCAAGUAAUAAUGCCGGAUCUACGGUUGCUCACCCUGUUAGAAGCUGGUCUUCCAUCCUGGGUUAUCUUCCUUCAAUCUUACCCCGUGUUUUGUCAUCUCUAUCGUCCUUGGAUGUGCCCUCUUGCUAGGGCUUUAUACGUGCUGGUAUCAGUUAUCACAGUUCUCAUAGGAUUUUAUGAUU